GAGAGAGGACAGAAGCAAUUGAAGAUGAUAAAGGGAGUGAUCUUGAUGAACGAUAAGGGAAAGCCUCGUCUUGCUAAAUUCUACGAUUAUCAUCCCGCAGAGAAGCAGCAAGAGCUGAUUCGAAAACUAUAUGGAGUUUUAUCCAGUAGAGCAGAGAAUGUAAGCAACUUCGUCAAGGUUGACUCUCUCUUUGGACCAGUAUGUGUUUUCCUCUUGGCUCUCUCUAUA
rnacentral:misc_RNA from 1 species